UAUUGAUGUGUUUGGUGUUAGCCUAUGU
rnacentral:piRNA from 1 species